rnacentral:rRNA from 1 species
AAUGAACGCUGGCGGCGUGCCUAACACAUGCAAGUCGAAUGUGCCGUUCAUCUUCGGAUGGACGGUGCAUGGCAGACGGGUGAGUAACGCGUGGGCAAUCUACCUUUUAGUGGGGAAUAACGAUCCGAAAGGGUUGGUAAUACCGCAUGAGACCGGCGGCUGGGAUGCUGCCGGUGAAACCUGGGGACCNCGAUUUUCGGAUCGGGGCCUGGGGACUAAAAGNGGAGCCUGCGUCNGAUUAGCUAGUUGGUGGGUAACGGCCUACCAAGGCAUCGAUCAGUAGCCGGCCUGAGAGGGUGA